rnacentral:tRNA from 1 species
CCGCGAUGUGGCUGAACGGUGGGUUGCGCACCGCUUGGAACGGUGCCCUCCGAACCCAAGAACCCAGGUCGGUAGGAUCGAGGCGCACAUCGAAGACC